rnacentral:rRNA from 1 species
AUUGAACGCUGGCGGAAUGCUUUACACAUGCAAGUCGAACGGUAGAGGGGGCAACCCCUUGAGAGUGGCGAACGGGUGAGUAAUAUAUCGGAACGUGCCCAGUCGUGGGGAUAACGUAGCGAAAGUUACGCUAAUACCGCAUACGAUCUACGGAUGAAAGCGGGGGACUCGCAAGAGCCUCGCGCGAUUGGAGCGGCCGAUAUCAGAUUAGGUAGUUGGUGGGGUAAAGGCUCACCAAGCCAACGAUCUGUAGCUGGUCUGAGAGGACGACCAGCCACACUGGAACUGAGACACGGUCCAGACUCCUACGGGAGGCAGCAGUGGGGAAUUUUGGACAAUGGACGCAAGUCUGAUCCAGCCAUUCCGCGUGCAGGAUGAAGGCCCUCGGUGUAAACUGCUUUUGUACAGGAAGAAACACUACUUCGUGAAGUAGCUUGACGGUACUGUAAGAAUAAGGAUCGGCUAACUCCGUGCCAGCAG